GCGUGUGUGUGGGAGUGUGUGUGCGUGCAGCCUGCGUGGGUUGCAUGGAAUGUAUAAUAAAUAAAGCAAAGUCCCAGGCACAGCGCCCCAGUCCCAGUCCCAGGAGCUGAAAAAACCAUGAUAAAGUUUGUCAGGCAGAAAAAUCGCGAGAACUCAUUAAGGGAAUCCAAAAAUUUUCUGCGUAAAAAGCGUGAAUCGAAUGACUCUGGCACCGAAUCUGAUGGUGAACUCCUCGAUGUGGAAAGUUACUUAGACGUGGACAUGGAAACUAGUGUUGCUGGCCAAAAGAUAGCUCCUGCCAUGAUGUGUCACCAGCAGACCUCGUCCUCGUGCGCCCAUCUCAUGUACGACCAGCACAGCUCCGAGGAAGAGCUGGAGGUGAUCAACGGGCCCUCGUCGCAGGGCGGCCAGCAUCCCGGCGGCACGGCAGCGACGGGCGGGUCCUCGUGCGCCUCUCGGAUCUCGAACCGGGGAUGCGCCUCCUCCCUGGACACGGAGGCGCCAUUCGAGGAGCGGGCCACCACCUCCAACUCGAAGCGCUCCAGCUCCUCCCUGAUGGUGGAGAACCGGAAGCGGUCGCUGGCCCACAGCUCCGACGACGAGCUGCGAAACUCGCUGGAGCCGAUCUUGACGCCGGUCAAUUUCCGCACAUCGCCGCCACUGGAGGCGUUCAAGCCAAAUCGAAGCCAUAUGAUGUUCCGCUCCACAACGCCACUGAUAUUAUCGGAGGCCCGAUGUGGCAUCGAAAAUAUUAAAUUAUGUGAUAAUAGUGUAAACGAGGAGAACGGCGACAACGGCGGCGGUGGGGGCGGCGGCAAGUGCGCCAAAAUCGGAACUGGAUCGGGGACCGGCGGGAACGAGAACGAGCCGAGCGUGAUCAAGGCCUGCAGCAGCUCCCUGAAGAUGAGCAACAGCAGCCACCACAUCUACCAGCCGCUGCCGAAGUACAGUUUCCACUACAACAGCUCCCGGAGCAGUCCGGCCAGCACCACCGGCCUGGACAACAUGGAGGUGCGGUCGGUCAGUCCGCCGGCGAAGCUGUUCCACUGCGCCAUAUCGCCCCGGAGGCGUCCGAGCAACAACUCCAGCGCGCCAGCGGGAUCCUCCGGCGCAGUCGCGGGAUCCUCGUCAUCCACAACGACACAGAACGCUGCCAACUCUGCCGGAAACGGAGCGUCCGCGUCCGCCGCCGUCGCCGCCACCCAGAGACUGCAGCGACCGCAUCGGCCGUGCUUAGAUUUUGAUAAGAUGCAGCAGGUGAGUCUCUAAUGCAGAGCGCGCUAACAGCCAGCAGCGGAGCAAGGACGAAGGCUGGAGGGUGGAGGACGAAAAGGAACAGGAACAGAAACAGUAACCGUAACCGUAACCGCAACAGCCACUGAAACAGAUCCGAAAGCGAAACUUCAGGUCGGGAAGCACACCAUCUAGCAGCAACAGUCGGAGGAUAACAAGGUCCAAACCAAACUAAAUAAGCCGGAGCAGCAGCUUCAGCUGGAGCUGGAGCUGAAGCUACAAUUAAAGGACAAGCAGCCCAAGGAGAAUAUCAUCAAAUCAAAUUAUAUAAUUAUAAAGGUACUUCAAAUUUUAAAGCAAAGCAGCAACCAGAAACCAAAAACCAAAAAUGAAAACGAAAACGAUAACAAGAAACCUAAAAUUUACAAUAGAAGCAGCUAUUUUUUCACACUUUUAAACUGGAAACUGUGACAAGCGAGGAGGCACGAACAGAGAUCGUAUUGGGGAGCAGGGAUACAGAAUCAGAAACUGAUCAGAUCGAGGUUAAGAUUUAGGUGUACGACGUAGCAACUAUGAGGAGGGAGGGAAGCCCCGUCAGUCGAAGCUGACAACUGAAAACUGUAAAUAUUGUAUGUGUGUGGAGGGGAAUCCUUUGAAGAAUUGGCACGCCAUCAGGGGGAAGAGGACGCCUCUUUUAAGGGGCGCCAGAAAGUAUUUUAAUUUUUUAAUAGGAGACCGGCGAACGGCAACAUGGUGAUGUAGACAGAAGACUCAGAACUCGAAAAAGAGCGAAAUUAUAUUUCUAUAGGGAUGCAGGAUGCAGGAGGCUGGACACUUGGGAGGAGGAGGAAAUAGUAGGGCAGACAAUGUGAAGUAACAAUAGCAACUGAAGUAAUAUAAACAGAAACCACAAACCAAACAUAACUUUUGUACGCUCCGGAGUUGGAAGACAGUAAUAUGUGUUUAAAGUACGAGGUGGAAUAGCGAGCUAUUUUAUAAACAAUAUUCAAUUAAUCCGCAAAUAGGAAACCGGCUUAGGAGGAGAAACAAACCAAACCAAAAAGCUGCCAUCAACAUGCAAGCGUGGGAUGAGGGCUCCUCAGUUUACCAGACAUGGUUGAUUGGGAAGAUUGGCGAUCCAGUACGAUUAUUAUGCGAUUGGCAGGCGUUUGCGAGCUCAUAAGUGUAUUAGUAAUUAACCCUUCUUUGUCGACUAAUUGCAACCAGGAUCAGAAUCAGGAUCGGGAUCAGGGCCAGGAGCUGGAGCUGGAGAACAGAAGGCAGGAAGCAAACCCCAUAUUCAAUUUAAACGAAAAGCUAAACCCAGUAACGUGUGCAACCAUAGCAGCGAAACAAAAAACAUACAUUCUUAAGUACCAUACAUAUAUAUUAAAGCCAGAGGGAGAUAUUCAACGUAAAGCUAA
rnacentral:misc_RNA from 1 species